GUUCUGCACUUGUAUCCCAGAACUUGAAAUAAAUUUUUUAAAAAAAGAAUAUUAAAAAAAAAAAGUACUCACUUGGGCAGGUCACAUACUGAAAUUGGAGUUAGCACGGCCCCUGUGCAAGGAUGCCAAGCAAAUCUGUGAAGCGUUUCGUAUUUUU
rfam:Homo sapiens chromosome 13, GRCh38 reference primary assembly.